CAGGUCCAUGCAAUAUCCCUUCUGCUUCUUCGAAAAGAUCGUGCUCAAUGGAUUGUUCAGUCCGACGAGCUGUCCUCGCCUCUUUGCUAUCCAGGGACGCCCGGCGGUUUGCUUGGGUGAUGCGCGCAUUCUUGUACUUAGCGGCGAAAUCUGCGGCGCUCGGCCCUAUCGUGCAUCCCAUCAUCUCCAAUAUUUUUAAAAUUGGGAGAUCGGAAGAGGG
rnacentral:lncRNA from 1 species